rnacentral:rRNA from 1 species
CACCAGGUUGAUUCUGCCUGACGUGGACGCUAGUCUCAUAGAUUUAGCCAUGCAUGUGUAAGCGAACGAGAGGGAGCUGCGGACUGCUCAGUAACAGGCGAAUAAUUUAAUCUUUACAAACGGACAAACUCAGGAAACGGAGUGAAAUACGAAAAAGUUGAUAUUUUUAUAAAAGAAAAUCGAAACUAGCUUGAAAAAGCGGUAAAGAAUAAGACGCCAGCCCAUCAGUUAGUAAGUAGGGUAAGGGCCUAUUUAGACGAAUACGGGUACGGGGAAUUAGGGUUUGAUUCCGGAGAGGGAGCCUGAGAGACGGCUACCAGGUCCAAGGACGGCAGCAGGCGCGAAAAUUACCGAAGCUCGAAAUGAGGCGGUAGUAAUGAGACGUAAAUAAAUAAUACAAGGGUAAAAAACUUGUUAAUAACUGGAGGUCAAGUCUGGUGCCAGCAUCCGCGGUAAUA